rnacentral:lncRNA from 1 species
CUGGGCUCAAUAGUCCCAUAAAGGGACCUGUGCAAGGAAGCGACUGCUAAAACUUGCUUUUCCUCAGCAAGGUCUCAGCUUUUCUGUGGGUCGUCCAGGUGAGACCCCAACCUGGAGCCAAUAGACCUUCCCAUGGAAAGGUCUUCAUCAUCGCCCUGCUCUGGACCUGCAUUCCUACUUCCAGGCCUUUGCUCCUGACCUGCCUUGCCAGGAGCACCAUUUCCUUCCUGUUUCAAUCUCAUCUCACAAAGCCUCCUCUCUGAGUCUUCCACUGAGCCCUCUGAUUUUCUGGUUUGGACUUACAGCAACUCCUACUGGUGAUUCUAAUGUGGAGCUGAUGCCAAGGACAGAGGUGCCCCUAGAGGUCAUGUGUGUCCACCGCUGGGAAUGGUGAGUAGGUCAUUCUGGCUUCCAGGUUCAACAGCAGCUGUCCUUUAGCUCUAUCCAGACCUGUCCUGUGGCAAGCUUCUGGCUCAUUCUGCUUAUCCAGCCUCUUGGCAAUUGAUUCUGUGAGUUUGGCCAAAAAGGAUUUGGGCUCUCCUGGCAUGCAGCCAGGCUGUACCUCCCAGCCUUGCAGUUGCACCGGCUGUGUGGGCAAGUUUGGGUCAAUGGGCAAUGAGCAGGAGUAAUGUGACCCCUUCCUGGGCUUACCCAAUGUGUUAGUUCCUGGGGCUGCCAUAACAAAUCACAGACAGGGUGGCUUAAAACAACAGAAAUGUAUGCUUUCACAGUUCUAGAGGCCACAAGUCUGGAAAUCAAGAUGUUGACAGGGUCAUGAUCCCUCUGAAGGCUCUGAGAAGGACCCUUCCUUACCCCUUCCAGCUGCUGGUGGCUCAUUCCUUGGCUUGUGGCAGCAUCACUCUCAUCUCUGCCUCCAUCUCCACAUGACCUCCCCCAGUUUCUCCUCUUCUGUCUGUAUUUUUCUCCUUCUUACCAGGACAUUCAUCACUGGAUUUAAGGCCCACCCAGUUACUCCACAAUAAUCUCAUCUUGAGAUCCUUUAAUUAUAUCUGCAAAGACUCUCUUUCCAAACAAGGUCACAUUCACUGGUACUGGGGUUAGGACUUGAGCAUAUAUUUUCAGUGGGGGUCGGGGGAAGCCAUGAUUCAAACCCAAGACAUCCCCAGAUGACUUGACUUAGAGGUGGAUGUUCCAUCAUCAUCUUUUUAAGCACUUUUCUCCAAUUCUCUUACUUCUCAUCACUAUACUCACUGCUCGUGGGAAGGAGAAUGUUAAGUACGCUACUAGGAUUGGACUAAAUUAAUAUUCACACAGGGAUGCAGUGAGGAUGAAGAUGUAGUUUAUUUCCUAAUAUCAGAGCUGGAUGCCUGGCUUAUGAGCAACUCACAUUCUCAUUGGAGGUGAGUGAGUCUUGCACUGAUUGACCUCUGUCAGGCUGGCAUGAUCUUAGGCAUUGUUUCCUUUGGCUGUCAAAACAACCAGCAAGAUGGUUGCUGCUAUCACCAUUUGUACAUGAGAAAAUCGAAGAUGAGUUUGCCCAGCAGAUCCUAAGAUGAUCUGAAUGUGAGUUUACUUGGGU